GUACUGCUGAGGAGUCCCACAAUAGGACAAAACGGCCGUCCAGUGC
rfam:Schistosoma mansoni strain Puerto Rico chromosome W, complete genome